CCUACGGGCGGCAGCAGUGGGGAAUAUUGGACAAUGGGCGAAAGCCUGAUCCAGCCAUGCCGCGUGUGUGAAGAAGGCCUUCGGGUUGUAAAGCACUUUCAGUGGGGAAGAAAGCCUUGGGGCUAAUACCCUCGAGGAAGGACAUCACCCACAGAAGAAGCACCGGCUAACUCCGUGCCAGCAGCCGCGGUAAUACGGAGGGUGCGAGCGUUAAUCGGAAUUACUGGGCGUAAAGCGCGCGUAGGCGGUCUGAUAAGCCGGUUGUGAAAGCCCCGGGCUCAACCUGGGAACGGCAUCCGGAACUGUCAGGCUAGAGUGCAGGAGAGGAAGGUAGAAGUCCCGGUGUAGCGGUGAAAUGCGUAGAGAUCGGGAGGAAUACCAGUGGCGAAGGCGGCCUUCUGGACUGACACUGACGCUGAGGUGCGAAAGCGUGGGUAGCAAACAGGAUUAGAUACCCCAGUAGUC
rnacentral:rRNA from 1 species